GGUCAGCCUAGGCCACAGCUCCAGUGAGGGACUUUCUUCCCACUGUACAUGUGUGUGUGUAGCAGGGAGGUGAACAAGCUCAGAAGAACAAUUCAAGGUACAGAAGUGCCAAGAGAAGGGGAAGAAGAUGGCCGUGUUUCUGAUCCGGUAUAUAAAAGCUCUUUUGUUGCAUUCACACACAAAAGCCAAGAAUCACUUUUCAUCUCUAGGCCCUGAAGGAAAGGGAAGAAAUUGCAAAAAGAAGCAGCAAAGUUCUCCCAAAAGUUUGUGAAGGGACAUUGGGAGUUCAGAACGAACAACGAUCAAUAAAUAAAAAAGAUUGGAAAAGGAAUGGGGAAAGCAAGGUGAAAUCCAGCAGUUCUCCUGUGGGUGCUAUUCAACCUCUUUUAUGCCUUGUAUAAAAGAGGAAAUGUAAUCCCAGUAGGUCCACCACCGAGAUUGCUUUUUUUUUCUCCUUCCCCUUUCUUUUUAAGGGGGGUUAAAAAAAGAAAACACAACCAACCAGUUGAUCCGUUCAGGAGCAGCAAAAGUAGCAAGCUGGCUGUGAUCACUUACUUGUCCGUCUCUUGUGACAUGUUUGAUCCAAUGAACUCUCUCCCCUUUUCCAGAUGCCUCAGUCUCUCUGGUGAAACUGGACUUUCAAGUCUGUGCAGGUAAAGGUGUGUGUGUGCGCGCGUGAGCGAGCGAGCGAGCGAGAGCAAGCGAGCGCCCGGGACGGCAGAACCAGAGCUACUGGUAAUUCUGCUUUUCUUCCCCCCCUCUUACUUCUCCCUCAGCCAGCCGCGGAGGUAGGAGUGGGACAGGUAAAGCCCCCUUCUGCCCGCCCCUCGCAUGUGAAAAGGAGACUGGCUAGGCUCGCCUGCCCGCCCUCCCUCCCUCUGCCGUUUAGGGCACCGCGCCGGGAAGCAACAAAAACCCAAAGGCGCCUACAGGUAAACUUUCCCAAGAGGACUUGGAUUCUUUCACUGAAGGAUACAAGGCAAGAGGGACGAGCUGCGAGCUGAUUGGGCCGAGCGGGGCCUCAGGUGAGCAGCCAUUGGAAGAGGCGCGCUCAGUGAGGAUAGAAUGACAGAAGAAGUUCAGACUAGUCCAUAUGGUGGCUGGAAUAUCCCAUUUUCAACUUCAAAGACUGGAGAAGCUGCACAGUCAGUGUAAGCCAAUGGUGAGAUACUAAUGGCCCUUCAAAUACUGGUGGACUUCAAGGCCCAUCAGUCACAGCCAACAUAGCUAAUGGUUAGAGAUGGUGAGAGUCUAACAGGUUCUGGAAAGGCCACAGGUUCACCAUUCCUGGUGUAAACAAACUGAGCAAAUGAGGCUUUCAUUUUUUCCGUGCAGAUUCUCCGACUGGAAUCCUAAGCAGGCAUUUUUCUGGAACUGAUUGGAUUCAGAUAACAUGUUAGAGAAUCCACAUUCUGUUAGCAAGAUGGUUGACCCAACCAUACUGUCAGGCAAGAGAUAGUAUGUUGGGUCAGCGCAGUUUGACGCCUGCUCCCUGUGGAAGCCGCCAGUCCACCCUAGGAUCUCCAAGAGACAUUGCAGGUGUUGCGGAGUAUCAGUUUGUGUAGGGAUGCACUUGCCUUACACUGCUGCUUUCUGUACUGCAACACCCUAGCUGGUGUGAAAGAGCCAAAGUCCCUACUACCUGGGAGAUUUUGUUUCAACCGAAAUGUCACAGCGAGGUGCUGCCAGGUUGUUUUGGAGUAGAGAGGAGUUAUGAGACACCCCCACCACACGGCUUUCCUGAUCAAAAUUGUCACCACUGCAAACUGAUGUUUGCAAUUUGGGAGAACAUUUUGGGGCAAACAGCAGCUUGCAGUUGGGUGCAAAUUUGCCAGGGAAAUGCACAGAGGGGAAAUGUUAAAAAUCAUUCUGCAGCAGCUGUUCCUCCAAACAAAUGCAACUGCAUUUUCAAUGUGUGCAUUAACAUCAGCAGAACUAUUAUGGAUCUGCCCUGUAAUGUGUAGUUUGAGCCAUGCAGUACAGUCAUAUACACGUUUGCUGAAAAGUAAACAUGAGUUCAGGGGGCAUUACUCCUAAUCCCAAGUAUGUAGGAGUGUAGCCUAGCUCUUAGAGCCUGGGUUGAACUAUAUAACACAGUUACACAGG